AAGGACUUGUUCAGUUAUCACUGUUUAGUUAUCACUGGUUUUAUUGUAUCUAGGCAGCACAAUAAAAUUAAUUCAACACACACACACACACACACGUAUAUCCUUACAUAUGGCCAUUUGUGGUGCACAGCUCAGGAGACACUAUUAACAUAGAAUCUAAUAUAAAUGACAUUCCCUUUACUGCUUCAGGAAAACUGACACUUUAUGUGGGAAUAGUGCUUCCUGGCAUUGUGUAGUCAGCAUGAGACCCUGUUAAAUUUGAUACUUUCCACAUUUUCACAUUUUCGUAUAACUUUGCAUCUUGUCAAAGAGGUAGGAAAGUAUUGUUAUUCCCAUUUUAUAGAUGCAUGAACUAAGACUCAGAAUGACUUCAGUUUCCUCAGUCUGCUUUAUUUUCUAUAAAAUGAUGAUACCAGACUCAGCAAUCAACAGUGUUGAGGGACACAGGGUUUGGUGUCAGAUAGAUCUAGAACUCAACCUCAGUUUUGCCUCCUACUAGCUGUAAAAGCUUAAGGAAGUUAUUUAAUCCCUUUCCUUCGUUUCCCAUCCCUAAAAAUAAUGCUGUUACAUGAAAUUUUAUGAAGACUUAAAUGAGUUAAUAUACUUAAAACACCUCAAAGCUUUAUGCUGUAAGUGCUCAAUUAAUGAUAGUUGCAUUAAUAAUCAGUAAUAAAGGUUAUAUAUUAUUUUGUGAGUCGUAUACUACUUUUCAGAGAUUAUGAGGUCAGUUAACACUUGAUAGAAAGUGACGGACCUAACCUAGAAGCAAUAUCCGUUUUAAGUAGAGGCCAAACUUGGACUGAUAACCUCAUGCUCUCUUACCAAUAUUGUAGGCAGUGAGUGAGGAGUUAACAAUAACAACAAAAGGCCUAGGAAAAGCAAGGAGAAUGUGUCCUAUAUAGUCAGGGACAGACUUUGGAGUCACACUAGACCCACCAUAGUUGUGUGUAAAAUAAAGCAGAUUUGAAUCAUCUAGUCACACAAAAAAGAAACGAGAAGUUACUGCAGUGAGAGAGCAAAGCAGUUCCAGAUGGUGGAAUGCUUUUACUGUGUGUGUUGGUCUCUGAGGUGCUCGUGACAUACCAUUAUCAUACUGUUCCUCAUAAUGACCCUCAGCCACUAAGAAAUGGUUGAGUUAUGCGGGAUAAUUUGCUAAGACUGUAGAACUAAUACACUAUAUAAAGACUUUCAUUACUUU
rnacentral:lncRNA from 1 species